UGCGUAGGUGGCUUGAAAAGUUUGAUGUGAAAGCUCAGGGCUUAACCCUGAAAUGGCAUUGAAUACUGUCGGGCUGGAGGUUUGGAGGGGGGACUGGAAUUCUUGGUGUAGCAGUGAAAUGCGUAGAUAUCAAGAGGAACACCAGUGGCGAAGGCGAGUCCCUGGACAACACCUGACACUGAGGCACGAAAGCUAGGGAGGCAAACA
rnacentral:rRNA from 1 species